UUACGGCCAUACUAAGCUGAAACACCUGUUCCUGUAUGAUCAGUGAAGUUAAGCAAUGUCGAGCCUGUUCAAUAACUUGAUAGGUGACCACUUGAGAAUAGAAGGUGCUGUAAG